rnacentral:rRNA from 1 species
GACGAACGCUGGCGGCGUGCUUAACACAUGCAAGUCGAACGGAAAGGCCUGCAGCUUGCUGCGGGUACUCGAGUGGCGAACGGGUGAGUAACACGUGGGUGAUCUGCCUUGCACUUCGGGAUAAGCUUGGGAAACUGGGUCUAAUACCGGAUAGGACAGCUGUUUAGUGUCAGUUGUGGAAAGUUUUUUCGGUGCAAGAUGAGCUCGCGGCCUAUCAGCUUGUUGGUGGGGUAAUGGCCUACCAAGGCGUCGACGGGUAGCCGGCCCGAGAGGGUGUACGGCCACAUUGGGACUGAGAUACGGCCCAGACUCCUACGGGAGGCAGCAGUGGGGAAUAUUGCACAAUGGGCGGAAGCCUGAUGCAGCGACGCCGCGUGGGGGAUGAAGGCCUUCGGGUUGUAAACUCCUUUCGACAGGGACGAAGCUUUUGUGACGGUACCUGUAUAAGAAGCACCGGCUAACUACGUG